rnacentral:rRNA from 1 species
UACGGAAGGCAGCAGUGGGGAAUAUUGCACAAUGGGCGAAAGCCUGAUGCAGCUAUGCCGCGUGUAUGAAGAAGGCCUUAGGGUUGUAAAGUACUUUCAUCGGGGAGGAAAAAACAAAACUAAUAAUUUUAUUUCUUGACGUUACCCGAAAAAGAAGCACCGGCUAACUCCGUGCCAGCAGCCGCGGUAAUACGGAGGGUGCUAGCGUUAAUCAGAAUUACAGGGCGUAAAGAGCACGUAGGUGGUUUUUUUAAGUCAGAUGUGAAAUCCCUGGGCUUAACCUAGGAACUGCAUUUUGAAACUGAAAUACUAGAGUAUCGUAGAGGGAGGUAGAAUUCUAGGUGUAGCGGUGAAAUGCGUAGAUAUCUGGAGGAAUACCUGUGGCGAAAGCGGCCUCCUAAACGAAUACUGACACUGAGGUGCGAAAGCGUGGGGAGCAAACAGGGAUUAGAUACC